AAAUUGAAGAGUUUGAUCAUGGCUCAGAUUGAACGCUGGCGGCAGGCCUAACACAUGCAAGUCGAGCGGUAGCACAGAGAGCUUGCUCUCGGGUGACGAGCGGCGGACGGGUGAGUAAUGUCUGGGAAACUGCCUGAUGGAGGGGGAUAACUACUGGAAACGGUAGCUAAUACCGCAUAACGUCGCAAGACCAAAGUGGGGGACCUUCGGGCCUCAUGCCAUCAGAUGUGCCCAGAUGGGAUUAGCUAGUAGGUGGGGUAAUGGCUCACCUAGGCGACGAUCCCUAGCUGGUCUGAGAGGAUGACCAGCCACACUGGAACUGAGACACGGUCCAGACUCCUACGGGAGGCAGCAGUGGGGAAUAUUGCACAAUGGGCGCAAGCCUGAUGCAGCCAUGCCGCGUGUGUGAAGAAGGCCUUCGGGUUGUAAAGCACUUUCAGCGGGGAGGAAGGCGAUAAGGUUAAUAACCUUGUCGAUUGACGUUACCCGCAGAAGAAGCACCGGCUAACUCCGUGCCAGCAGCCGCGGUAAUACGGAGGGUGCAAGCGUUAAUCGGAAUUACUGGGCGUAAAGCGCACGCAGGCGGUCUGUCAAGUCGGAUGUGAAAUCCCCGGGCUCAACCUGGGAACUGCAUUCGAAACUGGCAGGCUAGAGUCUUGUAGAGGGGGGUAGAAUUCCAGGUGUAGCGGUGAAAUGCGUAGAGAUCUGGAGGAAUACCGGUGGCGAAGGCGGCCCCCUGGACAAAGACUGACGCUCAGGUGCGAAAGCGUGGGGAGCAAACAGGAUUAGAUACCCUGGUAGUCCACGCCGUAAACGAUGUCGAUUUGGAGGUUGUGCCCUUGAGGCGUGGCUUCCGGAGCUAACGCGUUAAAUCGACCGCACGGGGAGUACGGCCGCAAGGUUAAAACUCAAAUGAAUUGACGGGGGCCCGCACAAGCGGUGGAGCAUGUGGUUUAAUUCGAUGCAACGCGAAGAACCUUACCUGGUCUUGACAUCCACAGAACUUUCCAGAGAUGGAUUGGUGCCUUCGGGAACUGUGAGACAGGUGCUGCAUGGCUGUCGUCAGCUCGUGUUGUGAAAUGUUGGGUUAAGUCCCGCAACGAGCGCAACCCUUAUCCUUUGUUGCCAGCGGUCCGGCCGGGAACUCAAAGGAGACUGCCAGUGAUAAACUGGAGGAAGGUGGGGAUGACGUCAAGUCAUCAUGGCCCUUACGACCGUGGCUACACACGUGCUACAAUGGCAUAUACAAAGAGAAGCGACCUCGCGAGAGCAAGCGGACCUCAUAAAGUAUGUCGUAGUCCGGAUUGGAGUCUGCAACUCGACUCCAUGAAGUCGGAAUCGCUAGUAAUCGUAGAUCAGAAUGCUACGGUGAAUACGUUCCCGGGCCUUGUACACACCGCCCGUCACACCAUGGGAGUGGGUUGCAAAAGAAGUAGGUAGCUUAACCUUCGGGAGGGCGCUUACCACUUUGUGAUUCAUGACUGGGGUGAAGUCGUAACAAGGUAACCGUAGGGGAACCUGCGGUUGGAUCACCUCCUUACCUUAAAGAA
rnacentral:rRNA from 1 species